GCGCACAAUUCCUCGCUGCACCGAAUCCCCGCCACCCCCUUAACCCCUCUCGGGGACGCCCCUUGGCGACUGGGGUCCUUUUGUGCUUGGGGGCUAGGGGGGCGCUGGCCCCACGGCCUCCAUGCUAAUGAUGAAGGGGCGCGCUGGGAGAGGACAGCUCCAGCCCAGCAUGGGCAUCCCCCAAGGCCAAGGCCCCUAGAACCCUUUUCAUUUGGCGAGGGGCUGCAGCGUGGGGAGGGGCGGGAGCGGGCGGGGGCCGGGGUCUGCCAGCCUGGCUCCCCGUGCGCCCAGGACCUGCCCCGCCACUUGGCUGGGCCGCGACGCGGUGGCCCGUCCCGGGUCAGAGAGUGGGGACGCCCCUUCCCCGCCCCCAGGCGCAGCCGAGGUCGGCGCCGGAGCCCCACAGGCCCCGGGGCUCUGGAGUGAAGGCGGCGCGGCGGGCUCGGGGGACCCCCAGGCUAGGCCUGAGUCCUGUCCGCGGAGUUGGAGGUGCAGGCCGGGGCCCACGGCCCAGGGGACCCCAGAGAGGAAGGUUCUCCCACUCCUUUGGUGCCACAGUCCCUGCGCUGGCUGCCCGUCUGCGUUAAGACCCUGGGCCUGGCCUCUUCCUGCUGGCAACCUGGCAAGAAAUCUAGACCCCAGACCUGAGGGAGAGAAACAGAGAAAAAGGUGGGGGAGAGAUCUCUCCAGCACUAAUGCUUCACUUGUGAAACCUCUUUUUCCCUGCUGAUGGAGAAUGGAGACAGGAAAUGGGGUCCUCCUUCUUGGAUAGGUGUGUUUUACCAGGUGAUUUAAGGUUUGCCAAACAGCAUUCAGAGAUUCCAUGAAUGUGCCCAAAUUGCAAAGGAAACCUUAGAAAAAAUGCCUCCCUGAGGUGAAGUUAACUUGCUUGGAACUGAAGACUUUUUUUUUUAUAAGGAUGCCAGUUUGCCCACUGUAUGGCCCAAGUGUUUAUUCAGCGGAGUCUUGGAUGAAAGCCACCACGUCAAUGUCACAUUCUCCGCACAUGUGAGGAAAAUACAUGUGAGACAUAGCAAAUUAGGUGUCAUGCUCUGGGAAGGGUGGAAUGGGAUUGAUUUGCCACUUUUAGCAAUGCUCUUUUACUGUCAGCUGUGGCUUUUAGGAGAGCAUUAGAGAUUCUUGUCACAGAUGUUUCUUUCAUAAACUGUUGGGAGAGAAUGACAUUCUGCAAAGAUGGUUUACUACUCUUCUUUCUUCUCUCGGGGAAACAAAGUACGUCGGCACUCCUCGCCAAAUGGACUCAAGGAGCGCUCUUCAUUUAUACCACAAUGGCAUUAAGGAUCGUGACAUUUGAAAGUUGAUUUUAGAACUUUGUUGGCAAGUGUAGUGUGUGGAGGUAUUUAUUCAAUGUGUUUGCCAUUGAGGAGGUCUGUAAGGCUGUUUUAUUGGGGGAGGGUGACAACCAGCCCAUUGGAUAUUUAAAAAAAAAUGUUUGUGUGCCUUAAAUUGAUUGGCACACAACUGAUUCAAGGGAUUAAUAUUUCUAGCAGUAGAUGUAGUCCAUUCAAAUGACUACAUUAGGAGAAGUGAAAAUUCUAGCAUGGCUUUUUUUUUUUUUUUUUUUUUUUGCUUAGAAGAUGAAGUUUAUGAAGAACAAUCAUACUGGCCUGAAAAAAGGUCCUUGAUGGAACUGCUUGAUGGAGAUUUUAAUAUUCAGGGGGCAAAAAUCCCUUAUCCACUGGGACUUUUAAUUCAGCACCUCCAUUUGGUAUAAUUUUCACUGAGAAUUUGGGGGAGUAAAUGUAAGUAGUCUGUACAUAAGUAUUUUCCUGCUGAACAAAAAUGCAGUUGCCAUAGCAACUGCACCAUCACAUGAAAUCCAAGACAUAGGAAGAAUAUUUUUCAAAAAGUGUGUUACCCAUGUGUCAUAUUAAUUUUUCUACUUUGUGUAUGAGUCAGACUGUUUUCAUCUGACUCUAUGUGACAGCCCAGUGCUUAAUCAUUCACUCAUUAAAGUUCUUUUUUUUCCCCCUUUAAAUGC